rnacentral:lncRNA from 1 species
AUUUUCCAAAAAUGUGAGGUUUCCACUACCAUUUGGAAGAUACGGAGCCAUUGUUUUGAUUGUCACGCAUGGACUUCCACUGAAGUGUUUUUCCUCAAAGGAGCAGCCAAGCCACUGUUGGUUUCACCACUUCUGAAAUUCGCCCCUUGCUUGUUGCCUAGGGCGGAAGGCACUUGGAAAGUUCACAAAGGAAAUAAAAUAUUUCGGUUGCCUCUGAAGUCAAACAAAAUACUUGUUUAUGGGUUAGGUCUUUCCCUCCCCCCUUUCCCAAUGGAGAGAGGCAGAAAAGCUGUGGAUUUUAAUAAGGCUAACAUUCUAGGUUUGGAAAAGGUCAAGUGACCACAAAUGCCUGAUAAAGUAUUUGCUUUUUUUCAGUAUAAUAUUUGAAUUUUAAAAUAUGAUAUUUAAAACAAUUAUUCUUCAGAAGUUCACUAACUUCAAAUGGGUAGGUUCUAAGGGGCUGAAAAUGCUCAGUGCUUUCCAAGAGUUGUCACUGAUGCUGUCAUUGAGACUUGAGAGAGGGUCUGAAAUUUAAUACAUUUAAGAUAUUGCCUGCCCUUUUCCCCAAAACUUGGUGGGAGGAGAGAGCAGACAAUCUGAGCUGAGGCCAAAUAAUAUCAACAUAUACAUAAAGUACAGGUUCUGUAUUGUUUGUUGUCUUCUUCGAUUCUCCGUUAUGAAAGUUAGAGGUGAAUCUCUGGAAAAACAAUGAAUGCUGCCACCCUCUUUUUCUCCUCCCGUCCUGUUGCAGGUUAUUAGACUUUCUUGAGUCUUUCUGAAUUGAAGUAUUUGGAAGAUUUAACAUUAUUCUAUUAUUGCUAAGUUGAUUUUUAAAACUUCUGAAGUUCCUGUGUGAGCAGAUAGCAAUUUAGGAGGCAGAGUGGGGAAAAUUGGCUGAUUUAGUUUCUCUGCCAGAAGCCCUAGAUUCAAGUAUUAGUUGGCUUCAAUUCUGGCUCUGCAACUGCCUCACUGUGUGGUCUUGGCAAGACAUAAUGUUUUUGUCUCAGUUUCCCUACCUGUACGAAAAAGAGUAAUUACACUAGCUUACUCAGUAGGUUGUAGCCUUGAACAACAAACGAAUGAUUACAAAGUACUUAAAACUACAAGAGAAUGAGAAAUUCUAAGUGUUACAGUCUUAUUCUCUUAAGGGGGUGAUAAAGUAAGAGUGAUGUUUAAUUAAUUAAUAUAAGCAAAUUGAAAUUCCUAGAUGAAAGGGGCUGGAGAAGUUCAAAGUCAUUUUAUUAUUAUUAAUAAUAGGUGUUGUACCUCUCUCUUUCACCUUCGUCAUCUAAUCAGCACACAUUCCUUGGUUUUAAGGGAGUGUUCUCUCUCCGAAUAA